CCAACGACAGCAAGUUGGCCGAGAGAAGGUAGGCCGUGCCCCAGGUGACCUCGUGUCUCUCCUAAGCCCAUGGCUUGAGUUCCUCCUACCAACAAAGCCGCACUUCGAUCACACACCCACAGCGACCCAGAUCUUUGAAUUCAGCAAUUCUUUCUCAGGUUUCAGCGAGGCAUCGGCAGCCUGAGCUAUUUUGGGACACUUUCUCUGCUGUGGAUGCCACUUUCGGAAUACGCCAGAAACAUGCUAAGGACCAGGAGCUCUCCGUCCUGGACCCGUUUGGGGGUUUUGCUCGCGCGCUCUCUCUUUCUCUGGGCUGAGCGUUUGGAGGACAGUCGUUCUUGCCAACCUAAUCCCAGGAGCCUGACUACCUUGCCCGGCCACAGGCUCCAAGAACCAGUGUAGCUGCCAGCACCCUCACGCACCAUGAGUCCUCACCGCGACCCUAAUCAACUUGGGAUUCUCUGCAAAAUACCUGGAAAGGAAAAGGAAGAUGUGAUCGCACCGUGACGUGACCAACCAGCCGCUGGAGCCCCAGGUACAGGGCCUAUGCCUCCACUAUCACCCCAGGGUAAACAUUCUGUGGCUCUGUGGAAGAAGGGCAGGACUCCUUGGGAAUGUUUGCCGGCCAGUUCCAAGGUGAAGUGAAGGGCUCCAGGUUCAGAGAGUAACCUCCCACCGAAUGAGAUGGAAACACAGAAUUCAACCCCAUGGUCUAAUGCCAUAAGAGCAACCUGGAUUUAUGUCUAUCUCUUCUGCUGUGUCCUAUCUCUGAUGACCUUGGGCAAAUCACUCAACCUCUCUGAUCCCCAAUCUUCUCCUUUGUGAAAACAGACCUAAGACGGUUACAUAAGAUGGUCACAUGAGGGGCACCUGGAUUUGUCUUUGCAACUGUUCUAUAACUCUCAAAUUAUUGUGAAAAAAUUCUUGCAAUUUUAUUUUUUAAAACGUAGGCUGAAGGGCAGUUACCUUGAGGGGCUGUGAAGAUGAAAUGAGAUAAAGUGUGGCAAUGCAUGUAGUUUGGUGCUUUUCUAUUCCCCUCCAGGGCAUCUCCCUUCACCUACACAUUCCAACUUGCUGAACACCUGAGGAAUCCGUAGGUAUGUUCUCUGAACUGUGAUGCCAGCAGGUCCACCUGCCUGACAGCAUUGCAGUUUAGAGCCUCGUUGCCAAGCCAAAACCCUGCAGGCAAGAAGGUUGGGUUUACACGGUCCUGGGAUCCAAUGAAUGCGUCAUCACACGUUGCCAGAAAGCCAAGCGGCCUAUCUUUGUGGCACUCUGAGUGUGGGGGAGCAGGGAGGGGGUGCAAUAAGAGAACUGGGUAGAGCCUGGAUAAGACUUACAGGUAGCUAGUCGAGAGAAGCAGGUUCGUGCUCUACCCCCACCGUCCCACUUAAAAUUCUUUUUCUUGUUGGCUUUGGGUAAAAGCACUUUUUCCGGGUAGAUCCAAACAAGUGGGGGGGGGGCUGAAAGAGGAAUAUCUAUUCAGUCAUUAGGUCCAUGCAGGUCUUAGGCCUAUGUCUGCCCAGACCAUCCCACCCCGCUUCCCUUCUCUGCUCAGUAUUGUAGCAGGAGAAGGACAGAGACGGGGAAGGGGACAAGUGGACCUUUGUGGGCUCUUUCCCGGGCUCUGGUGGGUUUGGCCAAUGGAAGGCCCUGGUAGGACAUUGGAAAGAGGAGGAAGAGAGCCUGGGGUAUUUCUCUCCCUCCCUCUCUGCCUCUGGGGAUGCCCCCAGAAGUGACCGUGUCUCGCUUGUGGCUCUGGCCCCUCUGACCAGGUUGACUAUAGCCCCAGUUUCCUUUGAGCUAUCUAGGCCCUAGGUUCUAGCGUAGGAGCUCCUUGCCGUGGGUUGUCUCUGGUCUGCGUCGUUGUCCUCUGCUCGGCACCCAAGCUCUCUCAUCAGCCGGGUAACCAGUUCCCUGCACUUAAUUGCUUCUCCCUUCAAUACUCAGCAGUUCCUGGUCCCAAAUGGACCGGACUGAUCAAUCCUCCACCAGCCCACAGCAAGGACUGCUUCCCUCCACCAGCCAGUCUUCAUUUUGGAAUGCAAGGCUCCAAGAGACUCAUCUGGAACAUCUGGGGGGGGAGAUUAGGGGAGUGGAAGAGGUCUGAAGAAUUCCAAAUGGAGGUCAAGCUCAGAAAAGCCGGGCCCCUCAGAAGUCUCUGCAACAAGAAAGGAGCAAGAACAGAAAAGCAGCGGAGCUAGUUUUACUGCUUCUCGAAUUGGCCCUGUCUCAACCUGUGGGUGCUCUGGGAGUCCUCUUCUUUGCAGAGAGCAAGUUGAAGCCUAGAAAGAGAAGACAGAUAACCACCCUCCUCCAACCGCACCCCACCUUCCCGCUUCGCCACACCACGUCAGCUCCAGGAAUGGGGAAAGAAGAGGAGAAAAGCUCCAGGUCGUGGCUGGCCUGUCUGUAGGUGGAGGCUGCAUUCCAAUCAGAUGGAGGAGAACAGCCCUGGGAGUCCCAGGGAGCCUGUGGAUCAGGCUGUCCCUGUGGGUCAUGAUUGAACUGCCCCAGGGAAAAGCUUUGCUUGAGGCCAAGCGGCCAGGAUUUCAACAGCAGCAGAAAUCAUGCAGGACUAUGCCCAGGACCAGAUCCCUUCACUUAAUUUCCUUGCAAACUGUUUGGGCCUGUAGAGAUGCAGUGCAAUGCUUGAGUCUCAUUCGUCAGCUACUAAUGGACUGGGCGACCUUGGAGAAAACAGGGAGAGGCCAGACAGGCCCCCUGCUUACCUAAAAGGAUGUAUUGUGGGUAUGCAAGGCACAUCAAACUGUAAUUCCAGCCCCAAGGAGGCACAAGAGCAAGUGCUUCCUGCUGGGGGGCCGGGAAGGAGAGCAGAAUGGAGGAACAACCCUGGGGUGCCCAAAAGCAUGGCUUUAAAGAAGUUUUUGUUAGUUUGGUUAGGGGCAAUGUUAAUAUGGUCAUCGUGUAUGAAAACAGCCCUAAUUUUUUGAGAUGCAUGUCAUGAAGUAUGUAGAAGUCAAUCAUAGAACACCUGGGAUUCCUUCCAACUGUGAAGGCAGAGCAUAAAAGAAAAGCGAAAAAGAGAAAGACAAAGACACACAUCCUAUGAGAUCACUUAUCUGUGGAAUCUAAUAAAAAGUGACACUAAAGAUCUUACUUACAAACCGGAAACAGACUCAAAGAUUUCAAAACCGAACUUAGGG